UACGGGGGGGGCAAGCGUUGUUCGGAAUUACUGGGCGUAAAGGGCGCGUAGGCGGUCAGAUAAGUCAGCUGUGAAAACCUCGGGCUUAACCCGAGGCCUGCAGUUGAAACUGUUUGGCUGGAGUGUGGGAGAGGAGAGUGGAAUUCCCGGUGUAGCGGUGAAAUGCGUAGAUAUCUGGAGGAACACCGGUGGCGAAGGCGGCAUCCUGGACCGAUACUGACGCUGAGGAGCGAAAGCCAGGGGAGCAAACGGG
rnacentral:rRNA from 1 species